rnacentral:tRNA from 1 species
GCCGUCUUAGCUUAAUCUGGCAGAGCAACUGACCUGUAAUCAGUAGGUUAUUGGUUCAAUUCCGAUAGACGGCACCA